GCUGGGUGUGGUAGUGCACACCUGUAGUCCCAGCUACUUGAGAGGCUGAGGCAGGAGGAUCGCUUGAGCCCAGGAGGUGGAGGCUGCAGUGAGUGGUGAUCUUGCUACUGCACUCCAUCCUGGGUGACAGAGUGAGACCCUGUCUCAA
rnacentral:SRP_RNA from 2 species